rnacentral:lncRNA from 10 species
GAGUCUGAGUCUCACUGUCACCCAGGCUGGAGUGCAGUGGUGUAGUCUUGGCCCACUGCCAGGUUCACCUCCCGGGUUCACACCAUUCUCCUGCCUCAGCCUCCUGAGUAGUCCCAGCUACUCGGGAAGCUGAGGUGGAAGGAUUGCUUGAGUCCAGGAGUUCAAGGCUGCAGUAAGCCAAGAUUGUACCAUUGUACUCCAGCCUAGGCUACAGAGGAAGACCUUGCCUCAAAAAAAUUUUUUUUUCUAUUUUUCUCUUUGGUAAUUUUAUUAUGAAUAUUACUUAAAUUUUGUAGAGAUACACCUCUCCCAAUAGUAAUACUUAAUAAUUGAGAUGUAGAAGGAAUUGCUGUAUAACUUUAUAGUGUACAUACUGUCAGAAAUACUGGUGUUAGCUAGUAAAUUUAAAAUGUCAGGUACCUACCACAGAGAAGAUAUAACCAAGUAUGGCAUGAUUGAUAGUUGUCCCUAAUACUGGUUUUCCCCCUCUUCUAAUUUUUUUUCCGGUAUAUCACUACCUAGAAUAAAAACAUCAUUUCCCCAGUCUCCCUUGCAGCUAGGUAUAGUAAUCUGGCUAAAUUUUGGCA